UACGAAGGGGGCUAGCGUUGUUCGGAAUCACUGGGCGUAAAGGGCGCGUAGGCGGCUUUAUAAGUCGGAUGUGAAAUCCCUGGGCUCAACCUAGGAACUGCAUUCGAAACUGGUCACCUAGAGUGAUGGAGAGGAAAGCGGAAUUCCCGGUGUAGAGGUGAAAUUCGUAGAUAUCGGGAGGAACACCAGUGGCGAAGGCGGCUUUCUGGACAUUUACUGACGCUGAGACGCGAAAGCGUGGGGAGCAAACAGG
rnacentral:rRNA from 1 species